rnacentral:rRNA from 1 species
CGAGUGGCGAACGGGUGAGUAACACGUGAGUAACCUGCCCUUGACUUUGGGAUAACUUCAGGAAACUGGGGCUAAUACGGGGUAUUCCGGGUCUGUCGCAUGGCGGGUUUGGGAAAGAUUGCGCCUUUGGGUGUUUUCGGUGGGGGAUGGGCUCGCGGCCUAUCAGCUUGUUGGUGGGGUGAUGGCCUACCAAGGCGGUGACGGGUAGCCGACCUGAGAGGGUGGACGGCCACACUGGGACUGAGACACGGCCCAG